CUUGGACUUAGUUGGAAAGGUAGGUGUUCGGCAUGUCCCUUGCUUGCGAACUUCUUUAGUAGGGCGGAGGUGCCAUUCCUCACGUUUACCGUUGUCCCCAGACUUCACUCUUUCAACACUUGUAUACUUUCUAAAGAGUCAGGCAUGCCCCUGUCCCUGUCUCCAAGUGUGUGAUCCACCGAUUCACUGAGUGACUUUUUCUUACCGCUGCGCUUACGUCCCUCUCUCUUAAAGCCCUAUCAGACUUCCCUUGCCGAUUGAAGAAAGCCUUAUAUGGCUUCAAACAAGCGAGAAAGGCCCUUUCUAUCUUAUUAGUCAAGCGCGCUAGCUGCAAUCAAAAAACAGCGCUAACGAGCAAGAAAACGGAUGCGCUAAGGCGCAACUUCGCGCAGCUGCUGCGCCCUUGCUUCUUGCUUUCGAGCCGGAGCUUGCUGGGUAGUGAAGUGGUCCGUGAAGGUUAAAUAAGACUUGUGUUAAGCAAGCAGAGUAGUCAAGCCAGAGAGGAAAAAAAAGCAAGAAGCUGUUUUCGUUCGAUCGACGGAAUCAAUCGUACUUUCACUGCUGUGGACCGGCUUUCAUAAAGCACCUUUGGGCAGCAGCAACUAUUGGGAUCCAAUUUCGAGAUCAAUUCGACAAUGAAACUCUUU
rnacentral:lncRNA from 1 species